ACGCUGGCGGCGUGCCUAACACAUGCAAGUCGAACGGAGAUUAUUGAUGAAGCUUGCGAUUUAAUAAUCUUAGUGGCGGACGGGUGAGUAACGCGUGGGUAACCUGCCCAUAAGAGGGGGAUAACAGCUGGAAACGGCUGCUAAUACCGCAUACGCUUUCCGGGACACAAGUGCCGGAAAGGAAAGAUGGCCUCUACAUGAAAGCUAUCACUUAUGGAUGGACCCGCGUCUGAUUAGCUAGUUGGUGGGGUAGAAGCCUACCAAGGCGACGAUCAGUAGCCGACCUGAGAGGGUGAUCGGCCACACUGGAACUGAGACACGGUCCAGACUCCUACGGGAGGCAGCAGUGGGGAAUAUUGGACAAUGGGGGCAACCCUGAUCCAGCCAUGCCGCGUGUGUGAAGAAGGCCUUCGGGUUGUAAAGCACUUUAAGCUGGGAGGAAGGCUCGGAAGUUAAUACCUUUCGGGAUUGACGUUACCAGCAGAAUAAGCACCGGCAAACUUCGUG
rnacentral:rRNA from 1 species